UACGGGGGGGGUAAGCGUUGUUCGGAAUUACUGGGCGUAAAGGGCUCGUAGGCGGCCAACUAAGUCAUACGUGAAAUCCCUCGGCUUAACCGGGGAACUGCGUCUGAUACUGGAUGGCUUGAGUUUGGGAGAGGGAUGCGGAAUUCCAGGUGUAGCGGUGAAAUGCGUAGAUAUCUGGAGGAACACCGGUGGCGAAGGCGGCAUCCUGGACCAACACUGACACUGAGGAGCGAAAGCCAGGGGAGCAAACGGG
rnacentral:rRNA from 1 species